GAAACGAAACAAGAAAGGUCGAUUUAAAGAAACGGUACGGUACGGUCAGUAAAUGUUAAUGAACUUACUCUGGAUCAUAAUUAUGUGUCAGGACAUUAUUGUGAAGGGGAAUGUUGUGAGGUGUGUUUUCCCGGAAUGAAAACGUUGAUAAACAGUAGAAAAUUCAGUUCUACGGGGUGGAACAACGGUCGACGAAUCGUUGAGUGGUCGUCAAUUAUAGACGCACUUUCAAGUUGUCAACAAUGUAAAUGCGGGCCUCUUUAUUUAACUAAAUAGACAGUUAAGGGUGAGAUGAAACUGGGACUAGGUGGAUAUCUCUAUAUCCAGUGUACACUCUGUCUCCGGCUGAAAAGGAUACCGUAUGGAAAGACCCACAGAAGUAAGAAACAAAACGACAAGGGGAUGCCAAGUUUUUGCAUAAAUACUAAAGUCGGCGCAGCAAUGAUAGACAGUGUUGGUGGACCCCAGCGGAUGAACAACCUGCUUACCACCCUUGACCUUCCCUUCAUAAACAACAGAAGUUUGAAAACAAUGGAGAGAAGAACGGGCCAGUUCAUCGAGAAAUAUGCAGAAGAAAACAUGAAGAAAGAAAGUGCCAUGGCCUAUGAGAAAGAAAUGAUAUAAUAAAAAUUUCAUUGCUAUUUUUUCUUUAAAAAAAAUUAUGUUCAUUCAAUUUGAUAUCAAAAUGUUUAUAAAUAUUGAUCAUGUAAAUCUUUAAACUUGGUUGUUUUAGAGCUAUUUCACAGAAAGAAGAGAAUGUCAAGGAGGAGUUUAGCGACUUAGGGGUUGCUGUUAUUUCAGAUGAAUUUCAUGGAGAUGUGUCUAGACUGGCAGAGUACAUGCACCUCUUUUGAUUCUCCAGGUGAUGGAAACAGCUCUAAAGGAUCCACACUUGAGCAGGCUACUUAUGAAGUGAUUCUGGAUCCCAAUAAAGAUGUCGCUUAUGAUGCCCACAUAUCAAAGAAAAUGCAUCCAGCAGUCAAGAAACUCUCUUUCCCUCCUAAGUCCCGUAAAGGCAUACCAGUUUGCAUCGACCAUGGAUGGCAAAAACGGGGGUUUGACAGUUU